rnacentral:ncRNA from 2 species
UGACGACAUUAGCAAACUUGAGCGAAAGCCAAGGACGCAAAGCCAUGGGUCUUCCAGUUGUAUAACUGAUGAUUGCCAGGUUACCGAA